GAUUAACGCUAGCGGCAGGCCUAAUACAUGCAAGUCGCACGGGAUUCAGGGUAGCAAUAUCUUGAUGAGAGUGGCGCACGGGUGCGUAACACGUAUGCAAUCUACCUUUAACUGGGGAAUAGCUCACCGAAAGGUGAAUUAAUACCGCAUAAAAUCAUAGAAGGACAUCCUUCAAUGAUUAAACCUACGGGGGUAAGAUGAGCAUGCGUCCGAUUAG
rnacentral:rRNA from 1 species